rnacentral:snRNA from 1 species
GCAGUGGAGAGUGGGGCAAUAUAAUCAUAUACACUCGCCUUUUACUAGUGUAUACCAUGUCCCGCUCUCAGUUCAACACUGCAUACAAUCUUUGGAAUCGUCGCUCUUGUGUGGCAU